rnacentral:rRNA from 1 species
AAGGAUCAUUAACGAAUAUAAUUCGAGGGGUUGUCGCUGGCCUCGCUCGCGCGAGGCAUGUGCACGCUUCUCGUUUUUAUCUCAACUCACCUGUGCACCUAAUGUAGGAUGCCUCUCCUCCGGGAGGGGGGACCUAUGUCUUCGUAACAUCUUCGUGUAGAAAGUCUUUGAAUGUUUACUAUCAUCGAGUCGCGACUUCUAGGAGACGCGAUUCUUUGAGAUAAAAGUUAUUACAACUUUCAGCAACGGAUCUCUUGGCUCUCGCAUCGAUGAAGAACGCAGCGAAAAGCGAUAUGUAAUGUGAAUUGCAGAUCUACAGUGAAUCAUCGAAUCUUUGAACGCACCUUGCGCUCCUCGGUGUUCCGAGGAGCAUGCCUGUUUGAGUGUCAGUAAAUUCUCAACCCCUCUCGAUUAGCUUCGAGAGGGCGCUUGGAUAGUGGAGGUUGCCGGAGACUUGGAUUCGUCCGAGACUCGGGCUCUUCUGAAAUGCAUCGGCUUGCGGUCGACUUUCGACUAUGCGCGACAAGGCUUUCGGCGUGAUAAUGAUCGCCGUUCGCUGAAGCGCAUGACCGAACGUCCCGUGCCUCUAAUACGUCGACCGCUUAUUAUCUCUCCGGAGAGAACAGGGUCUUCCUAAUUGACUUUUGACCUCAAAUCAGGUAGGACUACCCGCUGAACUUAA